CCUACGGGAGGCAGCAGUGGGGAAUAUUGGACAAUGGGGGGAACCCUGAUCCAGCCAUGCCGCGUGUGUGAAGAAGGCCCUCGGGUUGUAAAGCACUUUCAGUGAGGAAGAACGCCUGGUGGUUAAUACCCAACAGGAAAGACAUCACUCACAGAAGAAGCACCGGCUAACUCCGUGCCAGCAGCCGCAGUAAUACGGAGGGUGCGAGCGUUAAUCGGAAUUACUGGGCGUAAAGCGCGCGUAGGUGGCUUGAUAAGCCGGUUGUGAAAGCCCCGGGCUCAACCUGGGAACGGCAUCCGGAACUGUCAAGCUAGAGUGCAGGAGAGGAAGGUAGAAUUCCCGGUGUAGCGGUGAAAUGCGUAGAGAUCGGGAGGAAUACCAGUGGCGAAGGCGGCCUUCUGGACUGACACUGACACUGAGGUGCGAAAGCGUGGGUAGCAAACAGGAUUAGAUACCCCAGUAGUC
rnacentral:rRNA from 1 species